rnacentral:tRNA from 1 species
GGGCAAGUGGCGGAACUGGCAGACGCGAGGGACUUAAAAUCCCUUCUCCUUAGGGAGGUCCGGGUUCGAACCCCGGCUUGCCCAGCA